AACAGGAUAGCUCAGUUGGUAGAGCAUGAGACUCCUAAUCUCAGGGUCGUGGGCAAAAGUGGAUGCCCCUGCCACACCUCCUGUG